rnacentral:rRNA from 2 species
ACUGGCAGGCUAGAGUCUUGUAGAGGGGGGUAGAAUUCCAGGUGUAGCGGUGAAAUGCGUAGAGAUCUGGAGGAAUACCGGUGGCGAAGGCGGCCCCCUGGACAAAGACUGACGCUCAGGUGCGAAAGCGUGGGGAGCAAACAGGAUUAGAUACCCUGGUAGUCCACGCCGUAAACGAUGUCGAUUUGGAGGUUGUGCCCUUGAGGCGUGGCUUCCGGAGCUAACGCGUUAAAUCGACCGCCUGGGGAGUACGGCCGCAAGGUUAAAACUCAAAUGAAUUGACGGGGGCCCGCACAAGCGGUGGAGCAUGUGGUUUAAUUCGAUGCAACGCGAAGAACCUUACCUGGUCUUGACAUCCACAGAACUUUCCAGAGAUGGAUUGGUGCCUUCGGGAACUGUGAGACAGGUGCUGCAUGGCU